ACGUAGAAUGUAUGCACACAUGACUGUAAGUCGCUUUGGAUAAAAGCGUCUGCUAAAUGGCAUAUAUUAUUAUUAUUAUUAUUAUUAUAUUAUAGCACUGAGAGACACACACACACCUCUCCCUGGUUAUGGUUCCCUGUUCCUUGAAUUCAGUGUGUGUGUGUGUGUGUGUGUGUGUGUGUGUGUGUGUGUGUGUGUGUGUGUGUGUGUGUGUGUGUGUGUGUGUGUGUGUGUGUGUGUGUGUGUGUGUGUGUGUGUGUGUGUGUGUGUGUGUGUGUGUGUGUUACAAUGGUAACCCCCGACCCCUAUCUCUGCUCUCCCUCAGAGGGGCGGGACUUAUCUCAGGAACCUUUUAGAGGCGGAGCUACGUGUGCUGGUUUCCUGGAUCUGAACACUGCACUGGUUUUAGGGCAUUAAAUGGUUUGUCUGUGGGAUUCAAGAUUCAUACUUUUAUUUUUGAACGGUUAAAUGUUGUUUUUAAUAAAGUAGAUGCGUUGUUUGAAAAUGUUAUGUUUUGAUUGAGAUUUAGGCCAUUUCUAAAUUGUAUAUUCCAAAACAAAUAAUCUGUAAAGAAUGUAAUUGUGAAACAGUUAAAGAGUUUAUUUUUGCAACAAAUUCUGAUAUAUUUUAGUUGAUUUGAACAAUGUUUCUCAGAAAAUAGUAUUGUGUUGGCUGACAUCACGUUGUAUUCUCAUUGGAGACGAUGCCUAGCACACAGUAGCAGUUUCAAAAUGUUUAGAAACAGAAAUGGAGAGUUUGAAGACUUGUCCCUUUGCAUCCAUUUGGCUCUUUGUAAAUACAUCCCUGUUGAUUAUAAGGCUACUCAGAGAACAGACAGGACCCCUGUUGAUUGUAAGGCUACUCAGAGAACAGACAGGACCCCUGUUGAUUGUAAGGCUACUCAGAGAACAGACAGGACCCCUGUUGAUUAUAAGGCUACUCAGAGAACAGACAGGACCCCUGUUGAUUAUAAGGCUACUCAGAGAACAGACAGGACCCCUGUUGAUUGUAAGGCUACUCAGAGAACAGACAGGACCCCUGCUGAUUGUAAGGCUACUCAGAGAACAGACAGGACCCCUGCUGAGAGAACAGACAGGACCCCUGCUGAGAGAACAGACAGGACCCCUGUUGAUUAUAAGGCUACUCAGAGAACAGACAGGACCCCUGCUGAGAGAACAGACAGGACCCCUGUUGAUUAUAAGGCUACUCAGAGAACAGACAGGACCCCUGUUGAUUAUAAGGCUACUCAGAGAACAGACAGGACCCCUGUUGAUUAUAAGGCUACUCAGGGAACAGACAGGACCCCUGUUGAUUGUAAGGCUACUCAGAGACCAGACAGGACCCCUGUUGAUUGUAAGGCUACUCAGAGAACAGACAGGACCCCUGUUGAUUGUAAGGCUACUCAGAGAACAGACAGGACCCCUGUUGAUUGUAAGGCUACUCAGAGAACAGACAGGACCCCUGUUGAUUGUAAGGCUACUCAGAGAACAGACAGGACCCCUGUUGAUUAUAAGGCUACUCAGAGAACAGACAGGACCCCUGCUGAGAGAACAGACAGGACCCCUGCUGAGAGAACAGACAAGACCCCUGCUGAGAGAACAGACAGGACCCCUGCUGAGAGAACAGACAGGACCCCUGCUGAGAGAACAGACAGGACCCCUGCUGAGAGAACAGACAGGACCCCUGUUGAUUAUAAGGCUACUCAGAGAACAGACAGGACCCCUGUUGAUUGUAAGGCUACUCAGAGAACAGACAGGACCCCUGUUGAUUGUAAGGCUACUCAGAGAACAGACAGGACCCCUGUUGAUUGUAAGGCUACUCAGAGAACAGACAGGGCUACUCAGAGAACAGACAGGACCCCUGCUGAUUGUAAGGCUACUCAGAGAACAGACAGGACCCCUGUUGAUUAUAAGGCUACUCAGAGAACAGACAGGACCCCUGUUGAUUAUAAGGCUACUCAGAGAACAGACAGGACCCCUGUUGAUUGUAAGGCUACUCAGAGAACAGACAGGACCCCUGUUGAUUGUAAAGGCUACUCAGAGAACAGACAGGACCCCUGCUGAUUGUAAGGCUACUCAGAGAACAGACAGGACCCCUGCUGAUUGUAAGGCUACUCAGAGAACAGACAGGACCACAUUAACUGUCUGUACAUUGUGCCUUCUACAUCUCUAGUACUGAAAUAAAAAACUUUUGACUGAAGUGUUUUGUUUUUUGUAGGUUUUGUACUCGUGAUAGGAGUGGUGAUGGUCGUCUAUCUUUUGAGGGGAGUUCUCAUCCAAAGCCGUUCCCAGGAGACAUCCUGGAGUUUCCUCGGAAUAAAUACUUCUCCCAUUUCGGAAUUUACUACGGAGAGAGAGAUGGAGUGCCCUACGUAGCACAUCU